GCGUAAUAGCUCACUGGUCGAGUCGGCCUGCGCGGAAGAUGUAACGGGGCUAAACCAUGCACCGAAGCUGCGGCAGCGACACUGUGUGUUGUUGGGUAGGGGAGCGUUCUGUAAGCCUGUGAAGGUGGCCUGUGAGGGUUGCUGGAGGUAUCAGAAGUGCGAAUGCUGACAUAAGUAACGAUAAAGCGGGUGAAAAGCCCGCUCGCCGGAAGACCAAGGGUUCCUGUCCAACGUUAAUCGGGGCAGG
rnacentral:rRNA from 1 species